GUUAGAUUUAGGCAAAGUCUAAAUCUGUGUGUGUGUGUGUGUGUGUGUGUGUGUGUGUGUGUGUGUUUAAGUGUAGGUGCAUGUGUAUAGGUGUAUGUGUGUGUAGAUUGUAUGUGUGUAGGUGUGUGUAUGUGUUUAGGUGUAGGUGUGUGUAUGUGUGUGUUUAGGUGUAGGUGUGUCGGUGCUUAGGUGUGUGUGUGUAGGCGUGUGUGUGUGUGUGUGUGUGCAGGUGUGCAUGUGCAGGUGUGUGUAUAGGUGUGUCUGUGCUUAGGUGUAUGCAGGUGUGUGUAUGUGUGUGUGUAUGUGUGUGCGUAUGUUUAGGUGUAGGUGCGUGUAUGUGUGUGUUUAAGUAUGUGUUUAGGUGUGUGUGUGGGUGUAGGUG
ensembl:lncRNA